rnacentral:rRNA from 1 species
UACGUAGGCAGCGAGCGUUGUUCGGAGUUACUGGGCGUAAAGGGUGUGUAGGCGGUUCUUUUAAGUUUGGUGUGAAAUCUCCCGGCUCAACCGGGAGGUGCGCCGAAAACUGGGGGACUUGAGUGCAGGAGAGAAGAGUGGAAUUCCACGUGUAGCGGUGAAAUGCGUAGAGAUGUGGAGGAACACCAGUGGCGAAGGCGACUCUUUG